GAUGAACGCUAGCUACAGGCUUAACACAUGCAAGUCGAGGGGCAGCAUUAGGUAGCAAUACUGAGAUGGCGACCGGCGCACGGGCGCGUAACGCGUACCCAACUUUCCCGUUACUCUGGGAUAGCCUUCCGAAAGGGAGAUUAAUACCGGAUGGUGUUGAAAUUUCGCAUGUUAUUUCAACUAAAGAUUUAUCGGUAACGGAUAGGGAUGCGUGACAUUAGGUAGAUGGCGGGGUAACGGCCCACCAUGCCUACGAUGUCUAGGGGUUCUGAGAGGAAGGUCCCCCACACUGGAACUGAGACACGGUCCAGACUCCUACGGGAGGCAGCAGUGAGGAAUAUUGGUCAAUGGUCGGAAGACUGAACCAGCCAAGUAGCGUGAAGGAUGAAGGUUCUAUGGAUUGUAAACUUCUUUUAUAUAGGAAUAAAGCCCACUACGUGUAGUGGUUUGUAUGUACUAUAUGAAUAAGCAUCGGCUAACUCCGUGCCAGCCGCCGCAGUAAGAC
rnacentral:rRNA from 1 species